rnacentral:rRNA from 1 species
GACGAACGCUGGCGGCGUGCUUAACACAUGCAAGUCGAACGGAAAGGCCCUGCUUUUGUGGGGUGCUCGAGUGGCGAACGGGUGAGUAACACGUGAGUAACCUGCCCUUGACUUUGGGAUAACUUCAGGAAACUGGGGCUAAUACCGGAUAGGAGCUCCUGCUGCAUGGUGGGGGUUGGAAAGUUUCGGCGGUUGGGGAUGGACUCGCGGCUUAUCAGCUUGUUGGUGGGGUAGUGGCUUACCAAGGCUUUGACGGGUAGCCGGCCUGAGAGGGUGACCGGCCACAUUGGGACUGCGAUACGGCCCAGACUCCUACGGGAGGCAGCAGUGGAGAAUAUUGCACAAUGGGCGGAAGCCUGAUGCAGCAACGCCGCGUGCGGGAUACCGGCCUUCGGGUUGUAAACCGCUUUCGCAUGUGCCGAAGAGUGCGUGACGGUAAUGGGUAAAGAAGCACCGGCUAACUACGUG